ACCCUUUUGUAGUUCAUAAGUGUGAUGACUGGAUGUUCAUGCCAUUGUGUGACAUGUGCCUGCCUCAACCUUGUUACAACCAUGUCACAUUACCCGUCUGACA